rnacentral:rRNA from 1 species
AACGAACGCUGGCGGCAUGCUUAACACAUGCAAGUCGAACGUGAAGGGGACUUCGGUCCCUGGAAAGUGGCGCACGGGUGAGUAACACGUGGAUAAUCUACCCGAUGAUCUGGAAUAACACUUCGAAAGGGGUGCUAAUACCGGAUAAGCUCACGACGUCUUCGGACGACGCGGGAAAAGGGGGCUUCGGCUCCUGUCAUCGGAGGAGUCCGCGGCCCAUUAGCUAGUUGGUAGGGUAAUGGCCUACCAAGGCUACGAUGGGUAGCUGGUCUGAGAGGAUGAUCAGUCACACUGGAACUGAGACACGGUCCAGACUCCUACGGGAGGCAGCAGUGGGGAAUUUUGCGCAAUGGGCGAAAGCCUGAUCCAGCCAUGCCGCGUGUGUGAAGAAGGUCUUCGGAUUGUAAAGCACUUUAAGCCGGGAGGAAGGGCUGUAGGCGAAUACCCUGCAGUCUUGACGUUACCGGCAGAAUAAGCACCGGCUAACUUCGUGCCAGCCGCCGCCGUAA